AACGAACGCUGGCGGCAUGCCUAACACAUGCAAGUCGAACGAUGCCUUCGGGCAUAGUGGCGCACGGGUGCGUAACGCGUGGGAAUCUGCCUUUCGGUUCGGAAUAACUCAGGGAAACUUGAGCUAAUACCGGAUAACGUCGCAAGACCAAAGAUUUAUCACCGAAAGAUGAGCCCGCGUAGGAUUAGCUAGUUGGUGAGGUAAAGGCUCACCAAGGCGACGAUCCUUAGCUGGUCUGAGAGGAUGAUCAGCCACACUGGGACUGAGACACGGCCCAGACUCCUACGGGAGGCAGCAGUGGGGAAUAUUGGACAAUGGGCGAAAGCCUGAUCCAGCUAUGCCGCGUGAGUGAUGAAGGCCUUAGGGUUGUAAAGCUCUUUUACCCGGGAAGAUAAUGACGGUACCGGGAGAAUAAGCCCCGGCUAACUCCGUG
rnacentral:rRNA from 1 species